GAUGAACGCUGGCGGCGUGCCUAAUACAUGCAAGUCGAGCGAACAGACGAGGAGCUUGCUCCUCUGACGUUAGCGGCGGACGGGUGAGUAACACGUGGAUAACCUACCUAUAAGACUGGGAUAACUUCGGGAAACCGGAGCUAAUACCGGAUACUAUAUUGAACCGCAUGGUUCAAUAGUGAAUGACGGUUUUGCUGUCACUUAUAGAUGGAUCCGCGCCGCAUUAGCUAGUUGGUAAGGUAACGGCUUACCAAGGCAACGAUGCGUAGCCGACCUGAGAGGGUGAUCGGCCACACUGGAACUGAGACACGGUCCAGACUCCUACGGGAGGCAGCAGUAGGGAAUCUUCCGCAAUGGGCGAAAGCCUGACGGAGCAACGCCGCGUGAGUGAUGAAGGUCUUCGGAUCGUAAAACUCUGUUAUUAGGGAAGAACAAAUGUGUAAGUAACUAUGCACGUCUUGACGGUACCUAAUCAGAAAGCCACGGCUAACUACGUG
rnacentral:rRNA from 1 species